UGGCCCGCAAUGGAAGCAGCAGGCAAGCUGCAAAGAGCUCCUUUUCUCCCGCCUCUCAGCUGAUCGGCGGGUGGGCGGGGCUUCCACGGAGGCCUCCGUGUAGGCCGCAGUGAAGCCUGAACUCGAGUAGGGCCCAAGCAAGCCAGGAAGGAGGAGGCAGCCAGAGUGUUCUCUGCAGCAGAAGACCCCUUGCUGCCCUGCUUAACCCAGACCAGCAUUUGCCAGGGGCACCUGGAGGAGGGCCUCCGAAGAAGGACUGGAUUGGGACAUGUGGGGCAAGGACCUAUCUCAGGAAAGCUACAUUUAUAUGAAACUAGGUUCCAGCCUAUCCCUGUCUAUGGACUGUGCAUGAAGAUUUAUUGAUUUAUACUUUGCCUUUCUAAAAAAAGAACGUAGGGCAGCUUACAACAACAAUAUUAGUAAAACAAUAGCAUAGUACAAAUAACCAGUAUAAUGCCAAUCCUGUGUUCUUGUUGUUGAUGACAUGUAAUUGCUUGUGUAUGUUAUCUAUUUAUUAUUUAUUGCAUUUUUGCAUUUUUAUACCGCCCCUCCCAAUUUGGCCCAGGGCAGGCCAUUAUUAGUCUCCAAAGCAAAAAUGUUAAGUUAGCAACAGCUCAAAAUGAUACCUGCUCUAAUGGGCCAAGAUAAUGGUCAAUCCAACUAUCUAUAUGUCAUCUUGCAGUGAUAAAACCUAGGCACUUCAGAGGCUUGGGAAGACCACACAAUGUUCCCAAGUGAGUACUCUCCAUUCUGUGCAAUCCAGUAGAGCCCCUAGCACUGGGGUAGAUUCACUGAUAUAACAGCCACUAUUAUUCCCAUCAUCAAUAAAUAUAUCUUGUCCUUUUCAAAAAUGCAAGUAUAGUGUUGAUCACUGGAAAAAAUUUUGCUUUGAUUGUUUUUAAGCCUGUUGUGUGUUUAUUUAAUUGGGUGUACUUGUAGUUGGAAGUAUUAUGUGAAAGCAUCAACAUCUGUCCCCUGCUCGCUUUCAUUCAAGCAAAGGGGCAUGUGAGGUUAAUGUUAUAAAGACAAGAAGCAAAGAAAAUGGGCAAGAACAGCUUGGCGAUGGAAAAAAAUUAAGGGUGUGGACCAAAAACGGUCAAGCCUUAAAUAACAACUAUAUUCAGAAUUGCUUAGUAACAUAAAGAGAGAGGAGAGGGGAAAUUGCAGCAGAAAUAUUGAUAUUGGAAGGAAAUAAAAAUUAUAUAGGCACUUGAGGUUUUCCCCUAAAGCCAGGGUAAAUAGUGAGCAGAAGGGAGGAAGCAGGGGCGUAACGAGGCUGGAGUGGUCCCAGAGACAAAAUUUUUAAAUGGGCCCCUCGCUGAUACAUACACACUCACUUCACAUGUGACUUGCCUCUGGGGGUGCCCCUCGAGGUGUGGGGGCCCCCAGGCAGCCGCCUCCCCUUGCCUAAUGGUAGUUACACCCCUGGGAGGAAGUAACUAAUUUAUUUAUUUAUAUCGAUGUAAACCGCUUUGGGAACUUUUGUUGAAAAUGGGUAUAUAAAUAUUCAUUGUCAUAUCCAUUGUUAUUCUAUGUAAAUCACUAUGUAUACCGAAAUAAUAUAUUUGAAAAUUGUAUCAUUGGAGACCAAUAGCUUCUUUGAAUGUGUAAGAAAAUGGCACAUGGAAAAGGUUAACCCUUCUUCAUCCAAUGAAGAAGAGAGCCAAUUGGGAUGAGGAGAUUUUACUGGUUCUGGAUGGGGUUGCAUUCCCCUUGAAGGAGCAAGUACACUGCUUGGGGGUAUUGCUGGACCCAGCUCUGCUUUUGGAACCUCAGGUGGAGGCAGUGACCAGGGGUGCCUUUGCAUGACUUCAGCUAGUGCACCAUCUGCGUCCCUUUCUCAAGAAAGGAGAUCUGGCCACAGUUACCCAUGCCUUAGUCACGUCAUGGCUGGAUUACUGUAACACGCUCUACGUGGGGCUGCCCUUGAAGAAUAUUUGGAAAAUGCAGCUAGUGCAAAAUGCAGCAGCUAGGAUUAUAUCUGGAGCUGCUCGCUGGGAUCACAUCACACCCAUUUUGAAAGAGCUGCACUGGCUGCCAGUUCGUUUCCAGGUCCAAUUCAAGGUGCUGGUUUUGACCUUUGAAGCCCUUAACAGUUUGGGCCCGGGAUACCUGAGGGACUGCCUGCUCCCAAGGGUUGCUGCCCGCUUCAUGAGGUCAUCUGAGGGAGUCUGCUCUGGGUGCCGACCAUGAAGGAGGCUCGGCUGUCCUACAUGCGGGACAGGGCCUUCUCUGUUGCUUCCCCCAGACUCUGGAAUGCUCUCCCGGUGGCUAUUCACUCCUCAGUCUCCAUCACAGUUUUUAGAAAGUAUGUGAAAUCUUGGCUUUUUACCCAGGCUUUUAUAUGAUUGUCUUUACUGCUGCUUCUUUGUAUUUUGUAUGGUUAUUUUAUGCUUGUAUUUUAAAUCUUUUUAGUCAGAGCUAUGUUUUUUAUAUUUUAGCUUAAUAUUUUAACUGUGUCAGUUUUAUAAUCUUGUUUUAAUUUGUGUGUGAACUGCCUUGGGAUUGUUUUAAUGAAAUACAAAUUUAACAAUAAAUAGGCAAAUAAAUCCA